rnacentral:rRNA from 1 species
UGGGGAAUUUUGGACAAUGGGCGAAAGCCUGAUCCAGCAAUGCCGCGUGUGUGAAGAAGGCCUUCGGGUUGUAAAGCACUUUUGUCCGGAAAGAAAUCCUUGGCUCUAAUACAGUCGGGGGAUGACGGUACCGGAAGAAUAAGCACCGGCUAACUACGUGCCAGCAGCCGCGGUAAUACGUAGGGUGCAAGCGUUAAUCGGAAUUAUUGGGCGUAAAGCGUGCGCAGGCGGUUUGCUAAGACCGAUGUGAAAUCCCCGGGCUCAACCUGGGAACUGCAUUGGUGACUGGCAGGCUAGAGUAUGGCAGAGGGGGGUAGAAUUCCACGUGUAGCAGUGAAAUGCGUAGAGAUGUGGAGGAAUACCGAUGGCGAAGGCAGCCCCCUGGGCCAAUACUGACGCUCAUGCACGAAAGCGUGGGGGAGCAAAACAGGAUUAGAUACCCUGGUAGUCCACGCCCUAAAACGAUGUCAACUAGUUGUUGGGGAUUCAUUUCCUUAGUAACGUAGCUAACGCGUGAAGUUGACCGCCUGGGGAGUACGGUCGCAAGAUUAAAACUCAAAUGAAUUGACGGGGUCAUA